UAUCUUGUUUCGUUUCUCAUCGUUGCAAAAGAUUUAUUUUUUCGAUUCGAUUGUUCCUUAGAUAAUUAAUAUUUACGCGAGAGAAGAAUCGUCUGGUAAGUAUUUAUUUAUGUAUUUCCAUUUAAUUCAAUUUACCAGAUACUUUUUGAAAAUUAAGAGAAUUAAAAUUAUUCAACUUCCAAUCGAAAGAUAUUCUAAAAGUCCAAUUGCACCGUUUAUUUUCCAUACCGUAAAAUAAUUUCAAAAAUUUCGAGUGUAGUUAGAGAAACGACAUGCUGAACGAUUUUCAAUAUUCCUUAAAUCUAGAUACUGUUGAAGAGAGUAUAUAAUACAAAAAGAAAAAAGAAAAAAAAAAGAAAAUUCAUUCGAAAAAUGAAACUAAAUAAAAACGAAAGGGAACGAAUCGUUUCCAAAUGAAAACAUUCAACAAACGUAGAGAAAAAGAUAUAAGAGGAAACCGUUGCAGAACCGUUUAUUGGAAACUCCAACAUGGUGGCUUGUCGGUCAACUGGCCAACUUUCUAUCGAUAGAAAAAAAAAAAAAAAAAAAUUGUACGGUUUCUCUUUAGUCGGCCAGUGGUAUUGCCACACCAGCCCUUGGAACAUCCGGGCGGAGAUGCAAAAAAUAUUGGAAACUUCUUCCCCCCGGACUUUCUAACUUUUGGCCCUCGCAGUUCCGCAAUAUAUCCUUCCACGAUCUCCACGCGUAACCGAAAACCUUCGUCCGCUGUGUUGUGAGGACUCGAAGUGGAUCGACUCGAAUAGACGGAAAUUUUUGUCAAUAUUUCGUUCGUAUGUUUACAGUGCUGUGACCUCUGAAUAUGUUUACAUUACAUCAGUGGCAGUUUCGUUGUGCGAGGUUCGCUCGGCGCGAUGAAGAUAAGGAAGAUUUGAAUUUGGACAAAGGAAAAGAUUACGAGUCGAGUCGAGUCGGGGCAAACGAUUUGGAAAAGAUCGGGAUCCGCAACAUUGUGCAAAAUGAGGGAAGGAGAGGCUGUAAUAAAAUAAAAGGUUGACCAAACGUCCUUCCACGGACGGAGGAGGAAUGGAGGAGCAAGUUUUUCGAGGCGAGAACACCCGCCCACCCGAGUGCUCCGCCAAUUCGACUUGGAAACCCGGCUUAUCUUCCUUGGGAUGGACGCCCACCAUGACCGUUCUGAAUUUUUAUUCUUUUCGCGUCGGGGAUUGAAUUCUUCGCACAAAGGGUCGAUAGGAGAGGACGCCCGGAUAUUACACGUCGAUUUCAAUUGCGAUUAUCGAUUCUCCCAUAUUUCAAGAUGGCGGACCUGCAAAUUCGUCAAGGAUAUUUUCGUGUAUGAACGAUUUCACGUUUCGAGCUCGACCAGGGGGGUGUGAAGAAGGGUAAUUCGUAAUAAUUCGUGUUCAAAAACAAUUUCGAAGAUGAAGAAGAUAUAUAAUCCGAUGAGAUCGAUUUCGUUCUCGAACAAAAAAUUAAAUUAAUCGUGAUUAUAGCUCUUUUCGUUUCAAGAAAAUACUUUCUGCCUUUAAUCGAUUUUAUUCGCCUCGAGAAAUCGAUGAAUCGUUGGAUCGAGGAAAGUUGAAUUCACGCAAUCGAUGGAACAAGAUGGAAGCCGGAGGUUGAUGACGAGAGGGGGGGCGGGAGAGUUUCGUUUUUGCCCCAGCUAAUCCCAUUCGCGUAUAACGGAGCAAUUCCAUUAAGGACAGGAGUGUGGUGGGCCGGCAAGGGUCGAUUCGGAGAACAAUUCGAUCGAAUCGCGAAUUCCGUUUAAUGGGGGGAUGGAGUUGCCAGUCGUUCUCUUCCUCGAUUGAGACGUUGCUUGCAUUAUCCACUGCUUUUCUAAUUUAUUUAUUCAAGAAUAUUGGAUCGAAUUAAUCUUUAUUAAAGAUUAUUCCGAUUUCGUUUUCUUCGAAAAAUGAGAAUAUUAUAUACGAUAAUUAUAUCGAGGAUAAAUAAUAAAAAGAGAGAGAGAGAGAGAAGUAUAAUAACGAAUUUUUAUUCAUUAAGAAUUUUUUCUGGAUUUUUUUCUUUUUAAAUUUAGCUUUUUAUUGGACAACUUAUUUUGCAUUCGUCCAAUUUCCAUGUUAAUUAAUUUCUAAACAUGAGCAGUUAAUUCGAUGGAUUGAGAAAGAAAUCACGAUUGUCUCUGCAAUAAAAUAUGGUUAAUGAUUUAAUCAACGAGAUGCUUUGAGAGGCAGAGGUCGAACAAUGUUGGAAUGCGUUGAAAACGGUAGCUCGUUAAUCCAAUUAAGAAUGCGAUUUUUUUCUUUUUUUUUUUUGUUUUAAAAUGAUCAAUACAUUUUGAAGAAUCUGCUUGAAACGACGUAAACGUGGUUGUAAACAUAUAAUUUAUAUUAAAAAGAUAAAAGAAAUUUUUUUCUUCCUCGAAAUUAAUAGUUCAAAAAUUUUAUUUAUUAUUUAUUCAUUUAUUUAUUUAUUCACGGAAUAAAUUCUUUAUACUGGCCCAUAAAAUAUAAUACUAUAUUAAUUAUAUCUCUUUUUACGUUUUCAUGAAAAUUAUCGCUAACCGAAUUAAAAAAAAAAAAAGAAAAGAAAAAGAAAGAAAUCAUUACGAAGCAAAGCCUUUCGUUCAUCCACUUAAGUCUCGAAUAAAAUCAACUAACCAGUUCCAGCUCACAGUGCUGCCAACGUUUAUCUACGCUGCUCUCACAUAGUGGCAGCACUUUUAUCACAGUUGCAAGGGAAAAAAGACGGGACACAGAAGCACUUACGAUCGAGCUCGUUAUCUCGAGGAGCUUAGCUCUGCUUGCCUCAUAAAUAAUUCAUUCGGCGGUCAGGUUUCUCGAAGGGACAUUUCUUCUUCUUCUUCUUCUUUUUUCUUUUUUUUCUCUUCUUUUCCGACGCCACACACUCGUCGUCGUCCAUCGAAUCAUUGGUACAACGUCUCGCGUGCAACGCGAAACAACGUGCUUCUCCACGAUCGUUUGCUUUCGUAUCUUUCGCCGCGAACUUCUCGAAUUCUAAAUAUAAUCGAAAUGGGUACCUCGAGUUUCGAUCACGUGCAACUUCAUCUCGAACGUAGGUCAAGAUUUUUUUCUUCUUUUUCUUGUGAAAGAAAGUCGAAGUGGAAACUAAUUAUUGCAUCCUUGAGUAUUUAGAAAUUCUAAAUAUCUCAGAAUAAAUUUGUCAAAAUGAUUAGUUUUACGUUUUUUGUUCUUCUGUUUUUCUGCUCAGCUUGAAUUGAAUUUAUGUAAGUUUAAUAAUAUAUUUAUGAUUAGUAUCCUAGAUUUUUAUCGUGAAAAUAAAUAAAUAUAUAUUUUAUGCGUGAUAAGUAACGCAUAAAUUAGUUUUGUUAAUGUUAAAAAAAAAUAACUAUUACAAAUAGAUAUGUGUUGUAA